rnacentral:antisense_RNA from 1 species
GUUUAACGGCCGGUCAGGAACCCAACAAUUAGUCCCUUCUCGUCCGAGAGGAAACUCUGUGAGAAGAUGGGGCCGUGAGCACUCUCUUUAACAAGGACAUUUCCUUUUCAGCGAAAGCACCGCUCUGAUUUACCAAGUCUGGCGGACCGCACCGCUUUAAAGGAAUGAGGUUCCAGCGGUCGCGCCAAGCAGCGUACGCAGCCUAUUUUAAGUUAUGCUACCUUCGCCACAGAAACCAAGAACGUUGUAAUGGUCCGGCAAGUGCCCACGUGUAAUUGUUCUCCAUCACUUACCCACUCUAGCUCGGGAACACCCUUGUCGCCGCCGUUCCGGUAACACCUCUCCAACGCUUUCGAUGCUUCUACUUCUUCGGGAACAAGACAAGAUGGCGCCCGAUUUGUCUCACCCGGAAGUAAAGAAUAAUAACAUCCGUUUGUCAUCUGAAGCCAUACCAUCUCUCAUCCAGGUUUGUGAACACGUGAUUGUGCGGAUUGACAUGUUUCGGCGCCAUUUUUUUUGUGGGCAAACCCAUCUCUACUCUGGUCAACACCGGGCAACUGAACCAUUCCUGCACGUUACUUUUUAACGUAGCUGGCGCCAUUCCCGACCCAUCUUUAUAGUGGCCAGAAAGCCAAGAACGUAAGUGUUCUACACAUAGGGCGCCUUCAAAUUUUUUACUUUAGCAACGUGAUCUUCCUUUAAGGGGAAGUAUGUUCCCUCCUAGAAACACUCCCGCCUUGGAGAAGGGGUUGAGUUCGCAACUCCACUUACAGACUACGGAGGAACCCCAGGGUCAAACCAAACCAAACCAAUUCUGGCCAGUUGCUUAGCGCAGUUCAAGUUACUUAGUGCGCUGGAAGCGGCAUUUCAGGCAAUCCAGCUUCUGGCUCGAACCUUCUCGGAGUAUUCCAAGGAUGGAAUACUCUCACUUGAGCGCUGCCGAGGGUGCCGCUUGAGGAAAACGUGAGUUUGUGAAGAAUGUUUAUUGCAGAUACAGUUCCACCACUGUACAUUAAGUAUGUGGAAAACAGAAGAUAUCCUUUUGGUUCCUGGGUCUCCAGAACAGUAGGAGCAAACAUCCAAAUCUGAUAUAGCACUUCCAGAGAGCCUGGUCUUGGAGGAUAAAACUUUACCUUGAUGGGACUUUUGGCCCCGGUCCCUUAAGAGUUGGGAUUUGGGGUUGUACUGCAGCACAACUCAGCCUAUCCUAAUACAUAUGGGAAUGCAAACAUCUCAGAUAUUUCUUCUUGGGUGCAAUUUAAAAUACGUAUGAAAUGGCUUCAGAAGUGUCCAUGAACCUUCAAAAUUACAUACAAGAAUUAGGGAGAUACAUUUUUCUGGGAACAUACAGAUGUUAAGACUUCCCUUCUCCGUCUCUAUAUUGCCAGAAGAGAGGGCCCCAGAAUUAAAACCCCAUCCUUCCUACAACACUCAGCUUUCUCUUUCAGGAAUAUCAGUACUAAUAUCACCAUGCCUUUUAUCUCUAGGAUAUCUUCAUCCCCUGUACCUUAAUUUCUGCAUGACUUCAUAGGGAGUCCAUAUUGCUUGAUUUUUCUCCAUAUCAUUAUCAUUGACAUAAAUUUUCCUUACAUUCUUAGAAUGUGUAUUUCCUCACCUUUUAGAUUUCUGGCUCUUAUG